rnacentral:rRNA from 1 species
AACGAACGCUGGCGGCAUGCCUAACACAUGCAAGUCGAACGAGACCUUCGGGUCUAGUGGCGCACGGGUGCGUAACGCGUGGGAACCUGCCCUUAGGUUCGGAAUAACUCCCCGAAAGGGGUGCUAAUACCGGAUAAUGUCUUCGGACCAAAGAUUUAUCGCCUUUGGAUGGGCCCGCGUUGGAUUAGCUAGUUGGUAGGGUAAAAGCCUACCAAGGCGACGAUCCAUAGCUGGUCUGAGAGGAUGAUCAGCCACACUGGGACUGAGACACGGCCCAGACUCCUACGGGAGGCAGCAGUGGGGAAUAUUGGACAAUGGGCGAAAGCCUGAUCCAGCAAUGCCGCGUGAGUGAUGAAGGCCUUAGGGUUGUAAAGCUCUUUUACCCGGGAUGAUAAGGACAGUACCGGGAGAAUAAGCUCCGGCUAACUCCGC